rnacentral:lncRNA from 1 species
GUAAGUGUUUCCCUGAGCAAAAGAAUUUGAAGCAAACACAUUCUGCAUUGGAGGGUGCGUCAAACCAUCAUCUCCCGACUUACUAGGAGCUCCAAGUUGUUGAAUGAGCAGGUUACUGUCAGGUAAAGGUGUAUGUAUGACAGGUCGAUUUGCUUCCUGAAUUGUAAUAUAAGCUCGCUGUUGAAACCCAUCAGACUGAGAAUGUGCAGGCAAUUCAGUUGGAUAAGGCCUUGGGAUAAUUUCUGAACCAAAAUCAUUCCUCAAAGGCAAGUGACUCUGCCGAAAAUGUGAAGAAACACCAGGAGUUAUAGUUGAAUCAAGUGGUUUCAGUGGUGGUGGUGGUGGAGGCAAGGAAGCCA